CCUAAACGAUAUAAUAUAAUACAGCAUUAUAGUAUGAAACCACACAUUUUCAUUAUUCUACGUGCUUAAGCUAAUGCAGUAAAUUUAACAAUUAUGCUCCGAUGCAUAAAUACCGCUGUAUCUAUUAACAUAUGAGUUAUUUUACGCCCGCUUUGUUCAAACUUUAUAUUUUUGACUCAGUACCCGUGAAUAAAUUUCAAGUUAAAUCAAAAACUUCUUAAAAGGUGUAUGCGUCAUUGUCGUAGAAUACGGUGCAGCGGGGCAAACAAAGUUUUUUAAAUAAAUGUUUUCAAGUUCUUUAUGAAGUUAUUAUUGUGCUUGCCGCUGCCAUAAAAGGAAAUAAAAAUAACAGUAAGUAGGCUGGUAGUUCUCCGUACAGUAUUAAUGG